GUAACAAUACGAGGUGGCAUUCUAAUGAAUUUGUUCCAUGUGUUUCACGAGUUGCCUUCUUGAAUCUGAGAAGCCUCCUUCUAUUUUGGUUCAGCCUCUCUAUGAAGAGACUCUGCAUUUGGGAAGGCAGAAUUCCAAUUCAAGCACGAUUAGAAAUAUCAGGAAGUAUCUAUUGACCUUGAAUGAGUUUAAAUAUGCAGGAUUGGAUGGUUUGCACUUAGGUUACAGAUAGUUUGGCAGAAUCUUUAGGUAUUCUCUUUGAGAAAUUUUGCAGAACAGGAGAAAAACCAGAUGACUUGGAAAAAGGCAAAUGUUCAUAUCUUGAACAGGGAGGGAAUGAGAACUGGGGAACUACAUACUUUUUCAAGGCCAGCCUUGUCAGACUAAAUCUUAAUUGUUUAUUUAUGAUUCCAAUAGAGGUAAUGAAAAUGCUAUGGACACGCUAUUUCUUGAUAUUUGACAAAGUACAUGUCCGCCUUCCAAGGUAGACCAAAUUUGGAAACCAAAAACAUACCAGGCUGGCAAACUAUUUUGAUCUUGCAGAUCUCCAAGAGAGUCUUGGGGGACCAUAAAGUUGCCAAAGCUGAGAAACAGUUCUUGGAAGACAGAAAAUUCAACAUUAUAUUGGAAUCAACAUGGGAAUCUCUGGCUGCGAUUCUGAAGUCCUAUCCUCAGUGUUUGCCUUCUGAAAGUCAACUUUAUUAUUAUUUAUCAAAUGUAUUAUUUAUCAAAUGUAUUGGUUGCCCGUCUUUAAAAUGAGUUAUAUUUGGAAUUGUGUUUAUUUUAACUUUAGGUUUUUCAAUAAUAGCCAGUGAUCUACUGUUGAAGGAAAUAAAUCAAUUCUAUGUAUAAACAGGAUAUUUUAUGAAAUUAGUGUAUGUUUACAAAUUGUAUAGCUUUGAGUCAUGUAUUUGUAUAAAAUGCAGAGUAGGAACUGAAGAGCUCUUAUAUAUCAACAUUCCUCUUAAAAAUAUGGAUCACAAAGACAUUCAUUUAGAAACACAUCCCACUGAAUUCAGUUGAAAAUAUUUUCAAGUGACUUUAGAAUUUACUGCAGGUAAACAACUCUAUCCAUAAUCACAGCACUCCAUACUGCCUACCAAAAUUAUACCUUUCUAUCAACUUUUAUCCAACUGAUAUAAUUACUGUGGUAGAGCAAUAUUGCAAUAGGGACUCAAGUGAAUGGUUACUGUAUGCUACAAGCCAGAAUUUAGUCAAUUAUUUACCUAGGCAUUUGAUGAUCUGUUUGUUGUAACUUUUUAAGUUGUGUUCAUUGAUCAUAUUACAUCAUUAUAGGUAGUCCACAAUUACCGUGCUUCCCUGAAAAUAAGACCCUGUCGUAUAAUUUUUUGAACCCCGAAAUAAGCCCUUGGCCUUAUUUUUAGGGAGGUCUUAUUAUUUUGGAGCGCAUGGAACAAGACAGGGGUUCUUUUGCUGUCUUACCUGAUUUCCAGCUCUGUCUCUCUAACCCUAACCAGAGGAAAUGGCGGGGACCGGCUGUGCAUGCAUUUAAAUAUUUUCAGGGGGGCUUAUUUUAGCACAUGCGCUCAAAAGCCCAAUUGGGCUUAUUAUCGGGGAUGUCUUAUUUUGGGGAAAACAUGGUAUAAUUGUUCAUUUAAUGACAGUUCAAAGUUAUGAAGCCUCAGAAAGUGGUGUAUGACUUGUCCUUAAGUUACAACAUGAUUACAAUUGGGUACCUGGCAACUAGCUUGCAUUUAUGACCGUUGCAGUGUCUUGCUGCCAUGUGAUCAUGAUUUGCAACCUUCCCGGCUGACUUCUGGCAAGCAAAAUUAAUUGGGGGAAGCCUAUUAAUUGUUCAGUGCCAGUAAAACUAUUUAGUUUUACUGGCACUGAAUAGUUUUAUUCAGUCAAACUAUUUACUAAAUAGUUUGACUGAAUAUUUAUAUUUAGUAAAUAUCCCCCUGCAACUCAGACUAAUCUGAGCACAAUCAAGCCCCCACCCAAACAGGACACACCCCCAGCCAAUCAGAGCACAAAAAAAAACCCAUCGAAUCAGAGCACAGCCAAGCUCCCACCCAAUCAGUUCAACCCCCCACUAGCAGUUAAAAGGAAGAAACAGCUGCGAUCACACAUUGCUCCCACAAGCAUGAAGCUGAAGCCUGAAGAUGACGAAUGAGACUUCAUCGAAACGUCGCCAAGACACUUCCAAUUUUACACCGGAGAAAACCCGAACAACCAAAGACCUACAAAUAUAUAUAUAUAUUUAUAUAUAAAUAUUACAUAUAAAUAUUUACAGAUCCCUCACAUCCUGGACUGUUUCAACUCCUACCCUCAAAACGACACUAUAGAGCACUGCACACCAGAACAAUUAGACACAAGAACAGUUUUUUCCCGAAGGCCAUCACUCUGCUAAACAAAUAAUCCCCUCAACACUGUCAAACUAUUUACUAAAUCUGCACUACUAUUAAUCUUCUCAUCAUUCCCAUCACCAAUCUCUUUCCACUUAUGACUGUAUGACUGUAACUUUGUUGCUGGUAAUCCUUAUGAUUUAUAUUGAUAUUGAUUGUUCCUGAUUGCUUAUUUGUACCCUAUGCUUAUCAUUAAGUGUUAUAUCAUUAAGUAUUAAAUUGUACCCUAUGACCAUCAUUUGUGUUGUAAAUGUUGUACCUUGAUGAAGGUAUCUUUUCUUUUAUGUACACUGAGAGUAUAUGCACCAAGACAAAUUCCUUGUGUGUCCAAUCACACCUGGC